AGCGAACGCUGGCGGCAGGCCUAAUACAUGCAAGUCGAACGGCUCUUCGGAGCAGUGGCGGACGGGUGAGUAACACGUGGGAACGUGCCCUUUGGUACGGAACAACUGAGGGAAACUUCAGCUAAUACCGUAUGUGCCCCCAUUCUUAGCGGGAUGGGUGGGAAAGAUUUAUCGCCAUUGGAGCGGCCCGCGUUGGAUUAGCUAGUUGGUGGGGUAAAGGCCCACCAAGGCUACGAUCCAUAGCUGGUCUGGGAGGAUGAUCAGCCACACUGGAACUGAGACACGGCCCAGACUCCUACGGGAGGCAGCAGUAGGGAAUCUUGCGCAAUGGGCGAGAGCCUGACGCAGCCAUGCCGCGUGAAUGAUGAAGGUCUUAGGAUUGUAAAAUUCUUUCACCGGGGAAGAUAAUGACGGUACCCGGAGAAGAAGCCCCGGCUAACUUCGUGCCAGCCGCCGCGGUAA
rnacentral:rRNA from 1 species